GACGAACGCUGGCGGCGUGCUUAACACAUGCAAGUCGAGCGGAAAGGCCCUUCGGGGUACUCGAGCGGCGAACGGGUGAGUAACACGUGAGUAAUCUGCCCUUCACUCUGGGAUAGCCACCGGAAACGGUGAUUAAUACCGGAUACGACCAAUCCCUGCAUGGGGUGUUGGUGGAAACUUUUUUGGGUGGGGGAUGUGCUCGCGGCCUAUCAGCUUGUUGGUGGGGUAAUGGCCUACCAAGGCUUCGACGGGUAGCCGGCCUGAGAGGGUGACCGGCCACACGGGGACUGAGACACGGCCCAGACUCCUACGGGAGGCAGCAGUGGGGAAUAUUGGACAAUGGGCGGAAGCCUGAUCCAGCAACGCCGCGUGAGGGAUGACGGCCUUCGGGUUGUAAACCUCUUUCAGCACCGACGAAGCGCAAGUGACGGUAGGUGCAGAAGAAGGACCGGCCAACUACGUGCCAGCCGCCGCAGUAAAAC
rnacentral:rRNA from 1 species